rnacentral:misc_RNA from 1 species
AACGCACCUUGCACUCUUUGGUAUUCCGAAGAGUAUGUCUGUUUGAGUGUCAUGAAACUCUCAACCCCCUUGUUUUAUAAUGAGACAGGCGUGGGCUUGGAUUAUGGCUGCUGCCGGCGUAAAUGUCGACUCGGCUGAAAUACACGAGCUACCCAUUUCUAAGAAAUAGACGGUUUGACUCGGCGUAAUAACAUAUUUCGCUGAGGACGUCACAUUCUCAAUAUUAGUGGUGCUUCUAAUGCGACAUCUAAAUUUAAGCUUUAGACCUCAAAUCAGUCAGGACUACCCGCUGAACUUAA